rnacentral:tRNA from 1 species
GGGGGGUUAGCUCAUUUAUAGAGCGCCUAUACUUGCACGCAGGAGGUGGUGGGUUCGAAUCCCAUACUCUCCACCA